AGUGAACGCUGGCGGCGUGCCUAACACAUGCAAGUCGAACGAUGAUGGAGGAGCUUGCUCUUCCUGAUUAGUGGCGCACGGGUGAGUAACGCAUAGGUAAUGUGCCCCUUAGUCUGGGAUAGCCACUGGAAACGGUGAUUAAUACUAGAUACUCCUUCUUGUCUCAAGGCAAGUCGGGAAAGUUUUUCGCUAAGGGAUCAGCCUAUGUCCUAUCAGCUAGUUGGUGAGGUAACGGCUCACCAAGGCUAUGACGGGUAUCUGGUUUGAGAGGAUGAUCAGACACACUGGAACUGAGACACGGUCCAGACUCCUACGGGAGGCAGCAGUGAGGAAUAUUGCACAAUGGAGGAAACUCUGAUGCAGCAACGCCGCGUGGAGGAUGGCGCAUUUCGGUGUGUAAACUCCUUUUAAGAGGGAAGAUUAUGACGGUACCUCUUGAAUAAGCACCGGCUAACUCCGUGCCAGCCGCCGCUGUAA
rnacentral:rRNA from 1 species